rnacentral:rRNA from 1 species
UACGUAGGGUGCGAGCGUUAAUCGGAAUUACUGGGCGUAAAGCGUGCGCAGGCGGUUUUGUAAGCCAGAUGUGAAAUCCCCGGGCUUAACCUGGGAAUGGCAUUUGGGACUGCAAGGCUUGAGUGCGGCAGAGGAGACUGGAAUUCCUGGUGUAGCAGUGAAAUGCGCAGAUAUCAGGAAGAACACCCGUGGCGAAGGCGGCUCUCUGGGACGUGACUGACGCUGAGACGCGAAAGCGUGGGGAGCGAACAGG